AUUGAACGCUGGCGGCGUGCUUAAUACAUGCAAGUCGAGCGGGAUCCGUCCUUCGGGGCGGUGAGAGUGGCGCACGGGUGAGUAACGCGUACACGACCUACCGCUGACAAGGGGAUAGCCCUGGGAAACUGGGAUUAAUACCCGAUACGAUUCCGUAUAAUACAGGCCUGGGAUGAAAGCUCCGGCGGUGAGAGAUGGGUGUGCGUCUGAUUAGCUAGUGGGUAGGGGAACGGCCUACCAAGGCGAUGAUCAGUAGGGGACGUGAGAGCGUGGUCCCCAAACGGGUACUGAGACACGGACCCGACUCCUACGGGAGGCAGCAGUAAGGAAUAUUGGUCAAUGGGCGCAAGCCUGAACCAGCCAUCCUGCGUGCAGGAAGAAGGCCCUAUAGGUUGUAAACUGCUUUUGUCAGGGAAUAAACCUGUGGAUUUAUCCGCAGCUGAAGGUACCUGAAGAAUAAGCACCGGCUAACUCCGUGCCAGCAGCCGCGGUAAAAC
rnacentral:rRNA from 1 species